AGACCAAUGUGUGAGUAUGUGAGUGUGUAUAUGAAUGUGAGUGUGUGAGCACUCGUGCACAGAUAUAGCACUAUAGCAGAGAUAAUGGAAGUUAACAAGUUCUGAUGCCAGACUGCUCAAAAUUCACAUUUGGGCUCUAAUUAUGUGUCCUUGGACUAGUGACUUAACUUCUCUGUGCCUCAGUUUCCUUACCUGAAAAAAUAGGGAUAAUACAUACUUACCUCCUACAGGUGUUAGAAGGGUUCAAACUGAUGAAUACAGCCCUAUAUAACAGGGCUGGUGACAGUGAGCCCUCUGCUAGCUGUAUGUGUGCCCACUUGCCAGUGAGAGUGUGUGUGGGGAUGCGUGUGUGCACUGUGGGCAUGCUUCGGUGGAAAGAACACUAGAUUUGGAGUCAGAAAACCUGGAUUUGAGCCACACCUCUGCCACUUCCAGCCUCGGUGACAUUGACAGGCCACCUUACUCCUCUGGGCCUUUUUAGAUCUGCCAUCUGCCAGUGGGCUUGGGGAUGAGACCCAGGCUUCUGAAGGUCCUCUCUGGGUGGGACUAAGACUCAGAUGGGACAUGCAGCCCCUCCUGCAAGCACUGGACACAGGUAAUUGUGUGGGCUGCUGACAGGGCCCUGGAGAGUGUCAGAAAGCUCACAGCCUCUGCAGGAGAGAGCAGCUUCCCCUCUCUGGGCCUCCAUCUCCCCCAGUGCAGUGAAUCAAAUGAGCACCAGCAACAUCUCCUGAGAUGGGAUUUGGAGGGCUCCCUGGAGAAAAGAAAUAGUGCAGGGGUUUUGAGGCACUGGUGUGCCAGCCAGGGCCAAGUCAAAGCUGUCACUCACCCUGACUCAUUAGCCCUAAGUUCGUCCUCAGGGCAUGAGGUACAAGCUGAGGGCAGAGCCAUAGCCAGGACCAUUACUCACCACGGCAACACCUCUGCUGCCUGUUGCCACACACUGGUGCUGGACUCAGCUUCCGUGGAAAGGGAUGGAAAUUGCACUCAUUUUCCAGGAACAAAGAGGACAGCUUGCCGACCUUGCCUGUCUCCUCCCACUCUUGCUCUGUUCCCUGCCUCUGCUUGGUUGCAUGGGAAUUUUCCUACCCUUCAGAGACCUGGAGGGGACCCAAGAACUCUUGUUAUUUACCCCUCCUUCCUCACCCACUCUGGAGGGGAGUUGGGCAUAUAGAUGGGGCAGGAAAAGAGAGUGCUGAGGAGCACAGGCUUUGGGGGAAAACAAAAGAGCUGGGGAAGGUCAAGAAGGAGCUGCAGAUAGACUGCUGUUGAGAGGAAUUAGAGUGGGGAGAAAUAAUUCACUCCUUUGACCAUCUGUUAAGUGCAUAUGAUGCACUUCUAUACACGUUAUCUCAUUAAAUCCUCACAAUAGCCUAUCCUCACCCCCAUUUUAAACACUGAGGAAACAGGUCCAGAGAGGUUAAGUGACUUUGCCAAGAACACAGAGCAUUUCAGGUGGCAGGGUCAAGAUUUGGACGCCAGUCCUGUCUGACUUCAGAGCCCUUUCUACUUUACCACGGUGCCACUUUCCUGACCAGGGUUGGGAGUUCUGAGUUUCAGAGAUGAACAUCAAUGCUAAAUUGCUUUGUGAAUCCCUCUGAGCCUAUAUUUACCCAUCUGUAAAAUGAGAAGAUGAAACGAGAUGAUUUCUAAAGUCCGUUUUAGUACUGGCUUUCCAUGCUUAAGACGUGAGUGUUCAACCCCAUUAAAAAGUGGGCAAAGGAUAUGAACAGACUUCUCAAAAGAAGACUUUCAUGCGGCCAACAAAUAUAUGAAAAAAAAAGCUCAAUAUCACUGAUCAUCAGAGAAAUACAAAUCAAAACCACAAUGAGAUGCCAUCUCAUACCAGUCAGAAUAGCUAUUCUUAAAAAGUCAAGAAACAACAGAUACUGGUGAAGUUGCCAAGCGAAAGGAAUGUUUUUACACUGUUAGUGGGAGUGUAAAUUAGUUCAACCAUUGCAGAAGACAGUGUGGUGAUUUCUCAAAGAUCUAGAAGCAGAAAUCCCACUAGACCCAGCAAUCCCAUUACUGGAUAUAUACCCAAGGGAAUAUAAGUCACUGUAUUGUAAAGAUACAUGCACACACAUAUUCGUUGUGGCACUAUUCACAAUAGUAAAGACAUGGAAUCAACCCAAGUGCCCAUCAAUGGUAGACUGGAUAAAGAAAAUGUGGUACACACACACCAUGGAAUACUAUGCAGUCAUAAAAAGGAAUGAGAUUAUUAUGUCCUUUGCAGGGACAUGGAUAGAGCUGGAAGCCAUUAUCCUCAGCAAACUAACACUGGAACAGAAAACCAAACACCGCAUGUUCUCAUAAGUGGGAGCUGAACAAUGAGAACACAUGGAUACAUGGGGGAAUACAACACACAGUGGGGCCUGUCAGAGGGUCAAGGGGAGGAAGAUCAUCAGGAAGAAUAGCUAAUGGAUGCUGGGCUUAAUACCUAGGUGAUGGGAUGAUCUGUGCAGCAAACCACGGCACACAUUUACCUAUGUAACAAACCCGCACAUCCUGCACAUGUACUUCAGAACUUUAAAGUUGAAGAAAAAAAAAGAGAGUUUGGAGACUUUCCCAAACCCAAAGUUGAGAAGCCUGAAUGGCUUGGAAAGACAUCAAGGCAUUCAGCCUGAUCUUUGUUAUCAGUGAACUAGGGAGGAGACUUUCUGCCUGUCAAGGCUGUGCCAUUGCCACCUUCAGGCACCUUGCAUACUUUGGCUAUUAGUUCUGGCUCUGCAGACAAGCGACUGCCUUCAGGAGGGGAGUAAAGGGACAGUCCAGCCUCAGGAUUCCAGCAAGCAAGGAAAUCUGAAUAAUUGUGUCUCUGGGACACAAUAACUUCUGUUUCCUUGUCCCCUCCCUUCAAGCCACAGACUCCAAUUAGCAGCUUAGCACCAAAGUUCUCAGACAUGUUCCUGCUUUUGGAGACACUGAAUAAUGGAGAUAUUUCUGAAGCUGAGAUGAGGAGGGUGGGAGGUAGGAUGUGAACUUAUAAAAAUGUAGUGAGAGAGAUUUCAGAUUCCUAGAUGCUGCACUUUCUUCACACUUUAAGGAAGGUGUCUGGUUGCUGAAAGGACUCCUGGCCUCAGUAUAAUUUUCUAAUAAUUGCUCCAUUUUUCUGAGCUAUCAUCCCAAGCAUUGUGGAGUGAGAGGAAGACAGGGCUCUGCCUGCUGGAGGAGACCCCAUUCUCAUCUUAUGGGAAGUGUGAACCUGAUGAGGGAAGUAUGGCUCCCAGUAAGAGGGAGCACCAACCUGGCAAGAUAUUGUGGCCAUCUCCCUUAUGGAAUUCUUGGGCUGGUAGGGCAGAUAUUAUCCUGCUUUCUGUUGGUGGGGUGUUGGUCCAAAGGAGUUAGGGGAGCUGAACAUAAAGUUCAGAUGCAGAAAGAUGACUAAAAAAGAGUAUUCAACUCUUUUUUAGUUGAUCCUAGAGGGAAGAGGGUGGUCCCUAAACUCAGGUGGCCUUUGUCUUGGAGAGAGGUGAGUCAAGCCCCUCACUCUCCAGGAGCACAGUAAUAAAUAAGAUCAUAGUUGGGAAAAGUGUGGUGUGUAUGUGUGUGUGUGUGUGUGUGUGUGCCUGUAUGUGUCUGUGUCUGUGUGUGAUUCCAUGCCUAGGAAAGGAGCUCUUAUUCUAAAUUUGUUCAACAGAGAAUGUAACAAGGAAACCUUGAGAAAAAAAUUCUCUUGUUCUGUUCUUUGUCAUUUGGGACAGAAAUGCUCAAAUU
rnacentral:lncRNA from 1 species